rnacentral:lncRNA from 1 species
GUGGCAAUCCUUUCAAGUCUCAGUGUUAUGAAACCAAAUUUGCCUCCUUAAAGUAUUACACAUUAUCUCUAAUUCACUGUGUUUAUUACUCAUGUCUUAUGCACUUAUACAUUUGAAAUCAUGUUUUCCUUUGCUGGUUCUUAUAGGGUGUUGGACUCAGAGUUUAGAAGACUUGAGCUCAAAUUUUGUCUCAGACCUUUAUUAGCUGUAUGACAGUGGAUAAAAGGAAUGAAGCCCCAUUCUUUGGCAGCUGGGAAAGUAGGAAAAAAAAGAUGCAGUUCUACCAUUGUCCAAUAAGAACUGUACCAAGACUGGUAUAUCUAGAAUCCCUAAAGCAUAUAAUUGGGGACUUUGUGAGUUGGAAUGGACCUCUGAGGCACCUGAUACAAGUUUCCUCAAAGUAA